rnacentral:rRNA from 1 species
CCUACGGGCGGCAGCAGUGAGGAAUAUUGGUCAAUGGGCGCGAGCCUGAACCAGCCAAGUAGCGUGAAGGAUGACUGCCCUACGGGUUGUAAACUUCUUUUAUAAAGGAAUAAAGUGAGGCUCGUGUGCCUUUUUGUAUGUACUUUAUGAAUAAGGAUCGGCUAACUCCGUGCCAGCAGCCGCGGUAAUACGGAGGAUCCGAGCGUUAUCCGGAUUUAUUGGGUUUAAAGGGGGCGUAGAUGGGUUGUUAAGUCAGUUGUGAAAGGUUGCGGCUCAACCGUAAAAUUGCAUUUGAUACUGGCAGUCUUGAGUACAGUUGAGGUAGGCGGAAUGCGCGGUGUAGUGGUGAAAUGCUUAGAUAUCACGAAGAACUCCGAUUGCGAAGGCAGCUUACUAAA